GAAGAUAUAGCUCAGUGGUAGAGUGCCAUGUUCAGCAUGCAUGAGGUUGUGGGUUCAAUUCCCAAUACCUCUG
rnacentral:tRNA from 1 species